rnacentral:rRNA from 1 species
AAACAAGCAGAGGGGGCUUAGUGGUGGGGUGACUGCGUACCUUUUGUAUAAUGGGUCAGCGACUUAUAUUCUGUAGCAAGGUUAACCGAAUAGGGGAGCCGGAGGGAAACCGAGUCUUAAUUGGGCGUUAAGUUGCAGGGUAUAGACCCGAAACCCGGUGAUCUAGCCAUGGGCAGGUUGAAGGUUGGGUAACACUAACUGGAGGACCGAACCGACUAAUGUUGAAAAAUUAGCGGAUGACCUGUGGCUGGGGGUGAAAGGCCAAUCAAACCGGGAGAUAGCUGGUUCUCCCCGAAAGCUAUUUAGGUAGCGCCUCGUGAAUUCAUCUCCGGGGGUAGAGCACUGUUUCGGCUAGGGGGCCAUCCCGGCUUACCAACCCGAUGCAAACUGCGAAUACCGGAGAAUGUUAUCACGGGAGACACACGGCGGGUGCUAACGUCCGUCGUGAAGAGGGAAACAACCCAGACCGCCAGCUAAGGUCCCAAAGUCAUGGUUAAGUGGGAAACGAUGUGGGAAGGCCCAGACAGCCAGGAUGUUGGCUUAGAAGCAGCCAUCAUUUAAAGAAAGCGUAAUAGCUCACUGGUCGAGUCGGCCUGCGCGGAAGAUGUAACGGGGCUAAACCAUGCACCGAAGCUGCGGCAGCGAACGUAUCACCCAAGACAACUUUACGGAGUUGACGAUUGACGGAGCGAAGCGACGUCAAAGCGUUCAUUAAAGUCGAGUUGGCUUAGGGAUACGUUCGUUGGGUAGGGGAGCGUUCUGUAAGCCUGUGAAGGUGUGUCGUGAGGCAUGCUGGAGGUAUCAGAAGUGCGAAUGCUGACAUAAGUAACGAUAAAGCGGGUGAAAAGCCCGCUCGCCGGAAGACCAAGGGUUCCUGUCCAACGUUAAUCGGGGCAGGGUGAGUCGACCCCUAAGGCGAGGC